UGUAGAUGUGUGUGUGCGUGUGUGUGUGUGUGUGUGUCUUUCUGAUCACGUUCGCGCCACUUUCUGAAAUAACAGGUUCAUACAGUAUUUUUUGCAUUCUGGCAAAGAGCGAGUAAGAAGGCAUUUGAACCUGCAACGCAACGGACACACGGCCAUUCCAUGUCGGAGGAUCGCUCUGGUUACAUCGAGGAAAACCACAACAAUCCGAUGCAGAUGCAGGGCACUAUCCCUGAUCACACUGCUGAUCAAGAAGAUCUCACUGCAUGUAUCCCUCAGAACCAGGUGGAAAUUUGAAUGGUGUCUUAUAAUCUAUCAAUAAGUCUUGUGUUGUUCAAGACUAAACCGACAAAUGAAAGGAUGAAGGAAGUUCUUCGUCAGCUUGAUGAUGAUGUCGAGCUGUCCUAUCAAGUCAUCCAUCUUCUUCUGUCUCACUUUUCCGAAGAUGUCUCAGGACUUGAUAUGCCAGUGCAGCUGACCUUGAGAGUUCACUAGCUUUACCUGCAACGCCUCGUCUGAUACUUCUUGGAGAAACAGGAAACCACUUCCAAAGCUGGAUGCUCAGCAUUGAGGGCCAGAUUGUGGGCGAAGGGAUCCAGUCCACCUUUGUGACAGGGCUGGCGUCUUUUUUCUCCGGUUUUUAUAUCUUCAACCUACAGUACCAAGAGGAGGCAGCGUGCACACUUGAAUUCAUCCAGAGGUAAGACAUUGUCUGUUAACACCUGCAUUUGUUCUGGCCUAGCUGUGGCUCAAGCAUGGUUUCAGCAGGUCUGGUGAUGGGAUUUAGCAAUUAACUUUGCUUUAGAAAGUUUUAGUGCAACUUACAAUAUUCAUAGAUGCAUAGGAUAGUAUGUUGAGGAUAGUUCAUGGACAUUUGUUGUCUUGUUGUAGUGUUAGUCUGUGUGAAUUACUAGAUUUCCAACCCGUGUAUAAUUUUUCAGACGCUUUGUGGGUAUAAACCCAGAAAAGGGGACAAAGGCUGCAAAGGGGAAAAAAAGAACGGUAAAUUCACACAUCGCCAGCCUCUUGCGCAGACUGAUGGACUUCCAGUGGGAUUUCAUUUCAAAAAGUGGAGGUGUGUUCAGGUGCGUUCUGGGCAAUGUAGUGUAUUUUUCUGUGAUUGAUCCGAUCUAUAUGUGCCUACAUUUGUAAGUAUUUAACUUUCAGUGUUUCUAUUACAAUAAAAAAGUUAAUUUGAACAUGGAACUAUUCGUUUUCUUUCACUUAAGUGUUAUGUGAUGUAUUAUGCCUAUUCUUAUAAUAACUCAAGCUAGAAAUAUGUAUAUUACAAUCAAUGGUACACAUUACUAUGCUAAAAUAAUAAUCAAUACAUUUUAAAAGCAAUAUUUAAAGGAAACUAAAUAAAUGGUGAUUUAACAUGAAAAUAAUGGUAACCCUGCUGCCAGUAAAGUCCUGUUAAAAAACAUUACGGGUGUGCACUGUAAAAAAACAUUAACAGGAAUAAACCGUUAAAAUAACAUGAAAAUAAUGGUAACCCUGCUGCCAGUAAAUUCCUGUUAAAAAACAUUACGGGUGUGCACUGUAAAAAAACAUUAACAGGAAUAAACUGUUAAAAUAACAUGAAAAUAAUGGUAACCCUGCUGCCAGUAAAUUCCUGUUA